UACAGAGGGGGCCAGCGUUAUUCGGAAUUAUUGGGCGUAAAGGGCGCGUAGGCGGCCAUGCGUGUCUUCCGUGAAAUCCCUCGGCUUAACCGAGGACGUGCGGAAGAAACUGCAAGGCUCGAGUCCGGAAGAGGGUAGCAGAAUUCAUGGUGUAGCAGUGAAAUGCGUAGAUAUCAUGAGGAAUACCAGAGGCGAAGGCGGCUACCUGGACAAUUGCUGACGCUCAGGCACGAAAGCGUGGGGAGCAAAAGGG
rnacentral:rRNA from 1 species